UUAUUUAUAUAUAUCAUGUAAUUUAAACAUGGGGUAUUGCAUUAUAGCGUGAAUACAAUGGUAUCACCAGAACUGUUAACCAUUUUUUGCGCAUCAGUUAGCUUUCUGAAUAUUUACAUUGUUAAAUGCAAAACUGGUGGAGCCCAAAACAUAGUUACAAAUUUAGCCAGACAUUCAUUACUUUAAAGAUGGAAACGUUUCCUCUGUUGGCCCUCAUUAUAAUUGAGUAUUUCCUGCAAAUUCCUACAUCAUUUUAUUGGUACAAUGAUGGUUAUAGCGCUAAGAUCCUUUGGAGAACAUCCCGGUCUUCUUCAAACAACGUUUUGCACUUUUUGUUUUCCUUUUGCUGUCGUCAUCAAUGUUUUUGUGUUACUGUCUAAUUAGUGACAGCGACUUGAUUGUUAUGGUUAGAACUGCUUCUGUCUCGUUUUGUCGUUGUAUUUAUUGCUUUCAAUUUCAGCCCGGUCACAAAUUUAGUUUUAAAGAAAGCACAAGUAUAUUUUGGGGGAGUUUUUUGUCAGACUUAUAAGUAUGUACUCGGUGUUCCCCACACAGAAUUGAAUGUUCGUAAUGCAAUUGAUUGGUUUUUCUUUAAUUUAUUGGUCUGGACUUACUGUCCUUGAUUUUAAGAGCAGCAUCUUUAUAGAUAUUUAAUGUAAGUAAAGGCUAGAUUUUUUUUUCUUUCUUCUGCACAUCUAAAUCUACAUUCAAAAUUCAUUUGGUGCCACUUUUCUCUCUUUUAAUAAGCGACAUUUCAAUAUUUUAGGACUAAUAGUAACUUUUAUUUUACUUACUCCCAUUUGGUUAAUGACGUUACCAAAUAUACAUAAAAAAUUAAUAACAUUAAGAUGUAAAACGACAUGAUACAUCUUGAUUAUUACACAAAAAGGAGCCGUGACACAAAAUCAAGUCCAUCAUCAAGACUCAAGAACACAGACCUGCUGUAUUAUGGAUGUUUUAUUUCUCCAUUGAAAUUUUCACUCAGAAAAAUCCCUUUUGAGUCUCUUAAUUGAAAGCUGUUUCAAUUCAUUCCUGCUAACUCAGUUUUAGGCUUAAUAUAAAUCCUACUUUUAUAAAAACGGAAUCAUUUUUUUUACCAAUAUUCCAGAAUACAAAAAAUUUAACAAACUAGAAUUAUUUGUUUAAAGAAGCUUAAAAACCUUUCAAAACUGCUUAAUGCCAAGUAAUGAGUUAUAAUUUUAGUGCAAUAGUGAAGAUCUGUUCAUAUUUUUAAUACCUACAAACGACUGACAUGUUCCACUUUAACUCAUACUUUCAACUUGUGACCGUCAAUUAAUGGGUUAAAUUUGACCUGAUUAAUAUCAAUCACAUGCACGGAUUAUGUUUUGUUGGGAGUAAGGAAGUAGGGUGGGACCUAAGGCUUAUGAUAUUUAAGGUAGAUGAGACUGUGAUCCCAGAAACCACAACUCUAUAUCGGUGAUAAUUAAGCUGAAAUCCUUUAAUCCAGUCAGGCUUUUGUUACUCUGUUUCUAAUUUAAACUUUGGAUAAAAAAAGCCAUUACGCAAAGCAAAACCUAAUCUUUCACGAAAUGGUCAUUACAACUACAUGCCUGGAUGAAAGCGAUAUCAGCUCUAAUAAGCGUGUGAAAUCCACAGUGAUUCCACACAGGAAGGGACAUUUUCAGUUUUAAAUCUGUGAGUUAUAACACCACCACAUCUUGUUUCCUUUUUUUCUCUAACCUCUAGACCUCGUUUCUGAAUGUAACAGUUCUUAACCUGAGACAAAUAUGUGUUUGAAGUUAUUUAUUUGAAUGUGAAGCCCUGGUUGGCAUUUGUGUUGUUUAUGCGUAAGUUCCUGUAAGUAGUUAUUAGUGUUUAUUUAUUUCAGUAUGUGAGAGGGUGAACUCUACUGCCCUGACUUUACUCAAACUUAUUUAGAUAUGUAAAGAAAUAUUUUACUGUAAAAUAUUUAGUGUAUUAUUCAUACUUAUGGCAUGUUAUUCUGCAGUAUGCAGCAUUUUAUUUUCCAUAACUGUGGACUAAAUCUGACAAUUUGAGACUUUAUUUUACAUUUUGGUGUAUUCAUUAUAUCCACGUGUAUGCUGUCAAGCUAUGUUUUCAUUGUUAGCACUUUCCAUAAGCGGUCCACUAUACACUUUAACAUCCGCUCUCUGUGUUAUGCCAUGACUGUCAAGUGAACAUUUGUCUAUUUACUUGAAUCUUUAAAUGGAUGGUAAUCGGUGGAUUUUGUUGGGUUUUUUUGUCAUAUGAAUCACAAUAAAAAUGGGAAAUACUUUGAUCUCUUUCUUAUGUCCAGAGG
ensembl:lncRNA